GAGGAGGAAGACGAGGAGGAGGACAGAAGAAGACACAGUGAGACAGGCCACGAGACAGCGUCAGCUUGAGACAGAGAAACACGAAGAGGGGCAGACAGAAAGGGACAGAGACAUUCUCAGAGAGAUAGCUUCAGAGACAAAGAGAAAGCCAGAAGCACUGAGCCAUAUUCAGAUUCAGAAGGAGACAGAGAAGGUAGAGAGGGAGAGAGACCACAGAGAUUUGGAGUAACAGAGGCAGGGCAGACUGACACGAGAACAGAAUCAGGAGAGACCAAGACAACGAGAAGGAAACCAACGUGGACGCGGCCGGGAAGAACGCAGGCGGUGGGAGCACAGGAGACGCUCAUGUUUACCACCGGGUCGCAGCUGCCUGAUGGGUGUCUAACCCCUUUUGUUUUAUAGUACCUCCUCCCUUUACAUUCUCACUUUUUAUCAUUCUUCCUAGACCCGGGCGAAGCCGGGAACUGAGCCCACCCGCGCGGUGAUCCAUUCCUAGUCUGGCUGGGGGACUGCGUAGAGAAGGAACCUGAGCCGUCGAGAUUUCACUCCUAAGCCUGGGCUUGGGGACAGGGGUUCGCCCUGGACACUGCGGGAGGGUGCGGGAUGGGGCUCCGUGGGGAUUUGCCUAGAGGCAGGGGAUGCCCCAAAUGACCCCUGUAGGGCCCGCCCCCAGGCAGCCACCUCGGCAGCACCCUCCUUUCCUAUGCGCCCUGGGGCCUCUUCAGCUCUAGAGACAGGAGGAUGACUCAACACAGGUUGCAGGAGCCCUGCUUCAGCCAGCUCAGGAGGAAAGUGAUCCAGAGAGAGGCCAUGUAAAGAGGGAAAUGUCCUCGCACUCAAACACAACCACCACGCAGCGCAGUUCCAUAGCCCCGCGGAGAGACAGGACAUUUUUCUGGAGCUGCUGGAGAGAACAGUCAGAGAAGCCUGGGGAGGAAGAGUUGAUGCCUUCUGGAGUUUCUUGUGGCGGGUGGUGGGUGGUGGGGGGAGCCCUUUCCGGGUGUCAACUUUUUCUUUCCUCUCUUCCCCCAGCUCCUGUUUUCAUCCUUACCAAUGAGAAUUCAGCUAAUUGUUUACUCCAGGCUUGUGCCUGUCACCAACUAACCCAGGAGGCCCUCAGAGCCAAGCCCUGCCCUUUGCCUCAUUCUUUGUAACUGGACACCUGCAAGAGUGCUGGGCACACAGUAGGUGCUCCAUAAAUGCUACUCAAAUGGAUAAGUAGGAUAAAUAAAUGCAGAGUUUGGUAGUUCAA